rnacentral:rRNA from 1 species
AUUGAACGCUGGCGGCAGGCCUAACACAUGCAAGUCGAACGAAUGGAGGACGGGUGAGUAAUGUCUGGGAAACUGCCUGAUGGAGGGGGAUAACUAAUGGAAACGGUAGCUAAUACCGCAUACCAUCGGAUGUGCCCAGAGUGGAUUAGCUAGUAGGGGGGGUAACGGCGCAACUAGGCGACGAUACCUAGCUGGUCUGAGAGGAGAACCAGCCACACUGGAACUGAGACACGGUCCAGACUCCUACGGGAGGCAGCAGUGGGGAAUAUUGCACACUGGGCGCAAGCCUGAUGCAGCCAUGCCGCGUGUAUGAAGAAGGCCUUCGGGUUGUAAAGUACUUUCAGCGGGGAGGCGUUACCCGCAGAAGAAGCACCGGCUAACUCCGUGCCAGCAGCCGCGGUAAUAC